CGGGAUAACUGGACGAUCGCGCGCCGUGCAUACGGCUCGAGGAACGUCCGGGCUCCAGAGGACAGGGUGGUGGGUAACGCCCACUCGGGGAAACCCGCAGGCUAGUGCCACAGAAAAGAGACCGCUCGCCGCGUGCGGUGAGUCAGGGUGAAACGGUGGUGUAAGAGACCACCAGCGGCCUAGGCGACUGGGUCGGCUCGGUAAACCCCACCCGGAGCAAGGCCAGACAGGCUGUGUAUGAGGCGGUCCGCUCAGCAGCCGGGUAGGCCGCUCGAGCGCACCGGCAACGGUGCGCCUAGAUGGAUGAUCGUCACCUGCCAGUUCGGGUAACCGCGGCAGGCACAGAACCCGGCGUACAGGUUAUCCCGUCCA
rnacentral:RNase_P_RNA from 1 species